GGAAUAUUGGGCAAUGGCCGAGAGGCUGACCCAGCCAUGCCGCGUGCAGGAAGAAGGCCUUCUGGGUUGUAAACUGCUUUUAUACGGGAAGAAAACGCCCCUGCGGGGGUAACUGACGGUACCGUGUGAAUAAGCACCGGCUAACUCCGUGCCAGCAGCCGCGGUAAUACGGAGGGUGCAAGCGUUGUCCGGAUUUAUUGGGUUUAAAGGGUGCGUAGGCGGCCCGUUAAGUCAGCGGUGAAAUCCCACGGUUCAACCGUGGAACUGCCGUUGAUACUGGCGGGCUUGAGUUCGGUCGAGGCGGGCGGAACUGGCGGUGUAGCGGUGAAAUGCUUAGAUACCGCCAAGAACCCCGAUUGCGUAGGCAGCUCGCUGGGCCGAAACUGACGCUGAGGCACGAAAGCGUGGGGAGCGAACAG
rnacentral:rRNA from 1 species